rnacentral:tRNA from 1 species
GGGGCAUUGGCGCAGCUGGGAGUGCGCUUCCAUGGCAUGGAAGAGGUCACGAUUUCGAGCCUCGUAUGCUCCA